AGCAGCCGCGGUAAUUCCAGCUCCAAUAGCGUAUAUUAAAGUUGUUGCAGUUAAAAAGCUCGUAGUUGAAUUUCGGGAUCAAGUCGUCGGUCGUGCUCAGGUACGUACUGGCGUCAUUGAUUUCUCCCUUCUGACGAACCAUGAUGUCAUUAAUUUGGUGUUAUGGGAAAUCAGGACUGUUACUUUGAAAAAAUUAGAGUGUUUAAAGCAGGCUCACGCUUGAAUACAUUAGCAUGGAAUAAUGAAAUAGGACGUUCGAUCCUAUUUUGUUGGUUUUAGGAUCAACGUAAUGAUUAAUAGGGAUAGUUGGGGGCAUUAGUAUUCAAUUGUCAGAGGUGAAAUUCUUGGAUUUAUUGAAGACUAACUACUGCGAAAGCAUUUGCCAAGGAUGUUUUCAUUAAUCAAGAACGAAAGUUAGGGGAUCGAAGACGAUCAGAUACCGUCGUAGUCUUAACCAUAAACUAUGCCGAC
rnacentral:rRNA from 1 species